rnacentral:rRNA from 2 species
GGGUUGUGAGGUUAAGCGACUAAGCGUACACGGUGGAUGCCCUGGCAGUCAGAGGCGAUGAAGGACGUGCUAAUCUGCGAUAAGCGUCGGUGAGGUGAUAUGAACCGUUAUAACCGGCGAUUUCCGAAUGGGGAAACCCAGUGUGUUUCGACACACUAUCAUUAACUGAAUCCAUAGGUUAAUGAGGCGAACCGGGGGAACUGAAACAUCUAAGUACCCCGAGGAAAAGAAAUCAACCGAGAUUCCCCCAGUAGCGGCGAGCGAACGGGGAGGAGCCCAGAGCCUGAAUCAGUGUGUGUGUUAGUGGAAGCGUCUGGAAAGGCGCGCGAUACAGGGUGACAGCCCCGUACACAAAAAUGCACAUACUGUGAGCUCGAUGAGUAGGGCGGGACACGUGGUAUCCUGUCUGAAUAUGGGGGGACCAUCCUCCAAGGCUAAAUACUCCUGACUGACCGAUAGUGAACCAGUACCGUGAGGGAAAGGCGAAAAGAACCCCGGCGAGGGGAGUGAAAAAGAACCUGAAACCGUGUACGUACAAGCAGUGGGAGCCUCUUAAUGGGGUGACUGCGUACCUUUUGUAUAAUGGGUCAGCGACUUAUAUUCUGUAGCAAGGUUAACCGAAUAGGGGAGCCGAAGGGAAACCGAGUCUUAACUGGGCGUUAAGUUGCAGGGUAUAGACCCGAAACCCGGUGAUCUAGCCAUGGGCAGGUUGAAGGUUGGGUAACACUAACUGGAGGACCGAACCGACUAAUGUUGAAAAAUUAGCGGAUGACUUGUGGCUGGGGGUGAAAGGCCAAUCAAACCGGGAGAUAGCUGGUUCUCCCCGAAAGCUAUUUAGGUAGCGCCUCGUGAAUUCAUCUCCGGGGGUAGAGCACUGUUUCGGCAAGGGGGUCAUCCCGACUUACCAACCCGAUGCAAACUGCGAAUACCGGAGAAUGUUAUCACGGGAGACACACGGCGGGUGCUAACGUCCGUCGUGAAGAGGGAAACAACCCAGACCGCCAGCUAAGGUCCCAAAGUCAUGGUUAAGUGGGAAACGAUGUGGGAAGGCCCAGACAGCCAGGAUGUUGGCUUAGAAGCAGCCAUCAUUUAAAGAAAGCGUAAUAGCUCACUGGUCGAGUCGGCCUGCGCGGAAGAUGUAACGGGGCUAAACCAUGCACCGAAGCUGCGGCAGCGACACUAUGUGUUGUUGGGUAGGGGAGCG